CAGCACCCCAAGUGGUCAGGAUGAUUAUUGGGCCUAAAGCAUCCGUAGCCUGCUUUGUCAGUUUUCGGUUAAAUCCAUACGCUCAACGUAUGGGCUGCCGGGAAUACUGCAAAGCUAGGGAGUGGGAGAGGUAGACGGUACUCGGUAGGAAGGGGUAAAAUCCUUUGAUCUAUUGAUGACCACCUGUGGCGAAGGCGGUCUACCAGAACACGUCCGACGGUGAGGGAUGAAAGCUGGGGGAGCAAACCGGAUUAGAUACCCGAGUAGUCC
rnacentral:rRNA from 1 species